rnacentral:rRNA from 1 species
AAUACUAGAGUUUGAUCCUGGCUCAGGACGAACGCUGGCGGCGUGCCUAAUACAUGCAAGUCGAGCGGACAGAUGGGAGCUUGCUCCCUGAUGUUAGCGGCGGACGGGUGAGUAACACGUGGGUAACCUGCCUGUAAGACUGGGAUAACUUCGGGAAACCGGGGCUAAUACCGGAUGCUUGUUUGAACCGCAUGGUUCAAACAUAAAAGGUGGCUUCGGCUACCACUUACAGAUGGACCCGCGGCGCAUUAGCUAGUUGGUGAGGUAACGGCUCACCAAGGCAACGAUGCGUAGCCGACCUGAGAGGGUGAUCGGCCACACUGGGACUGAGACACGGCCCAGACUCCUACGGGAGGCAGCAGUAGGGAAUCUUCCGCAAUGGACGAAAGUCUGACGGAGCAACGCCGCGUGAGUGAUGAAGGUUUUCGGAUCGUAAAGCUCUGUUGUUAGGGAAGAACAAGUACCGUUCGAAUAGGGCGGUACCUUGACGGUACCUAACCAGAAAGCCACGGCUAACUACGUGCCAGCAGCCGCGGUAAUACGUAGGUGGCAAGCGUUGUCCGGAAUUAUUGGGCGUAAAGGGCUCGCAGGCGGUUCCUUAAGUCUGAUGUGAAAGCCCCCGGCUCAACCGGGGAGGGUCAUUGGAAACUGGGGAACUUGAGUGCAGAAGAGGAGAGUGGAAUUCCACGUGUAGCGGUGAAAUGCGUAGAGAUGUGGAGGAACACCAGUGGCGAAGGCGACUCUCUGGUCUGUAACUGACGCUGAGGAGCGAAAGCGUGGGGGAGCGAACAGGAUUAGAUACCCUGGUAGUCCACGCCGUAAACGAUGAGUGCUAAGUGUUAGGGGGUUUCCGCCCCUUAGUGCUGCAGCUAACCGCAUUAAGCACUCCGCCUGGGGAGUACGGUCGCAAGACUGAAACUCAAAGGAAUUGACGGGGGCCCGCACAAGCGGUGGAAGCAUGUGUUUAAUUUCGAAGCAACGCGAAGAACCUUACCAGGUCUUGACAUCUCUGACAUUCCUAGAGAUAGACGUUCCCCUUCGGGGGCAGAAUGACAGGUGGGCAUGGGUUGUCGUCAACUCCUGUUCUGGAGAAUGUUGAUUAAAUCCCGCCACGACCAAACCUUGAUUCCUAUUGCAGCAAUCAGUUGGGCAUCU